AGCAGCCGCGGUAAUUCCAGCUCCAAUAGCGUAUAUUAAAGUUGUUGCAGUUAAAAAGCUCGUAGUUGAAUUUCGGGAUCAAUAUGUCGGUCGUGCCUUCGGUACGUACUGGUAUCAUUGGUUUCUCCUUUCUGACGAACCAUGAUGUCAUUAAUUUGGUGUUAUGGGGAGUUAGGACUGUUACUUUGAAAAAAUUAGAGUGUUUAAAGCAGGCUUUAGCUUGAAUACAUUAGCAUGGAAUAAUGAAAUAGGACGUUCGAACCUAUUUUGUUGGUUUCUAGGAUCAACGUAAUGAUUAAUAGGGAUAGUUGGGGGCAUUAGUAUUCAAUUGUCAGAGGUGAAAUUCUUGGAUUUAUUGAAGACUAACUACUGCGAAAGCAUUUGCCAAGGAUGUUUUCAUUAAUCAAGAACGAAAGUUAGGGGAUCGAAGACGAUCAGAUACCGUCGUAGUCUUAACCAUAAACUAUGCCGACUAGGGAUCGGAUGAUGUUAAUUUUUAAUGACUCAUUCGGCGCCUUAC
rnacentral:rRNA from 1 species